rnacentral:sRNA from 1 species
AUGAACAGGUCACCCUCGUACACUGCAGUCCCGAGCGCGCCGCCUACCUCCGCCUGACGACCGCUCGCUACGUGGUGUCGGCC